rnacentral:lncRNA from 1 species
GCGGCUUCCUCCUCACGUAUUGGCAACGUCGAUUCCGACUUCGUCGUCAUACUCGCCGCUCUCCUUUGCGCCCUUAUUUGCGUCCUCGGUCUCGUUGCCGUUGCUCGUUGCGCCUGGAUCCGACGGAUCUCCGCUAGAGCCACCGGAAAUUCAGCCUUUUCAUCACCUCCGGCUAAUAAAGGUUUGAAAAAGAAGAUCCUUAUAAUAAAUCAUGAUUUAAGACACCUUCUCCGGCGGCUUCCUCCUCACGUAUUGGCAACGUCGAUUCCGACUUCGUCGUCAUCCUCGCCGCUCUCCUUUGCGCCCUUAUUUGCGUCCUCGGUCUCGUUGCCGUUGCUCGUUGCGCCUGGAUCCGACGGAUCUCCGCUAGAGCCACCGGAAAUUCAGCCUUUUCAUCACCUCCGGCUAAUAAAGGUUUGAAAAAGAAGGUCCUUAAGUCUCUUCCGAAGCUCAGUUACACGACCGAACACGCCGCGAAAUUUUCUGAAUGUGCCAUUUGCCUGGCGGAAUUCGCCGUCGGAGAUGAGAUUCGAGUGCU